GGAUAAAGAAAAUGUGGUAUAUAUGCACAGUGAAAUACUAUUUGGCCAUAAAAAAGAAUGAAAUCCUGCGAUUUGUGACAACAUGAGUGAACCUGAAGAGCACUAUGUUAAGUGAAAUAAGCCAAGCACAGGUAGACAAAUACUACAUGAGCUCACUCAUAUGGAAUCCAAAAAGGUGUUCUCAUAGAAGUAGAGGGUAAAAUAGAGGUGAGGAGAGGAUAAGGGAAGUGGGGAAGUGGAGACAGGGAGCAAGUGGUCAGUAGGUACAAAAUUACAGUUAGAUAGGAUGAGUAAGUUCUGAUGUUUAUUGAAGCAUAGGAUGAAUAGAGUUAACACUAAUGCAUUCUACAUUUCACAAUAAUACCUACUUUCCCCAGUUGCUGUGAAGACCUGAGAAAAUGUAGAACGCCUGCCAUAAUAAUUAGCAUGUCAUUGGUGUUAGGUCUGGUGGAGGGUAAACAGCUGGCAAGGAAGUGACUAAGGGCGGAAAGUGGGAACCGAAUUGUGCUAGGAACCAAAUUGCAGAUGGGAACUGUUUCCUGGUGGGAACAUACAUAGUAAGAAGUCCCCAGUGACCUUUAACUGAUCUAGAGCUUAUUACCAUCUAAUUAGCAUAACAUGGGUGGAGCCUUGUGAAGAAUUCUGGGGAAGACAAACGGGUAGAAAGGGAAACUGUUACAUAACCAACCGGUUAGGUAACCUGUCAUGUGAUCUGUUAUAUAACACCAAGCUGUCAAUCACCCCAAAAGGCUAGGAAACAGCAACCAAUCCUGCCAGGAGAAAGGCGGGACAAGCUAGUGCGCAUAUAAAAGACAGGGUGUACUCAGAUGUCCUCUUUCUCACUGACCCAGUCCACCAUCUGUAGAAGCAAGAGGAAUGAUUUAUUUGUCAAGAGCUAUGAGAAAACAACAAAGCAGCAAGCUUGAGAUGAAAAUAUCUAUGUCAAGGAUUACUCUGAGGAUUGAACAAGAUGAGGAACAGCAAGUCAGUGAGGUUAAGUGAUUUCUCUAUCCAGCUAGUAAGUGAUGAAGCCAGGACUUUAACCCAGAUCAUCUGACUCAAAAUCCCAUGGUGGAAAUACUAAGGGCUCGCAGAGUCUCACAACCAUUGGGUAUUCCGUGACAACUGGGCCUGAUCUUGGAGGUGGAGAAACAAGCGUAAGGACAAGGGUUACAUUACUUUCCCUCUCCAGGUGCGGGGAGAGGUCAGAGGUUCGUGGGAAACUGCCGCAGAUACUGAGGAAGGGUCUCAUGACAAGAGCGCUUGGUCCCUCCCUGAUCAAUACCUGAUCAGUUAACUAGGAGUUGCAUCAGUCCUGUUGCAACAUUCUCGGAAAACAGAAAAGUCCACAGUGCAAAUGGCACAGGUCCGUAAUUUGGAGGAUUUGGGGGUGGGGGUGACACUGAGAUGAAGGUGUCUAUCAUUUUAUAAAAUCACAGCCAGAAACACAAUGGCUCCCCAAAUAUUUUUCCCUACGCUUCUCCUCUUUCUUUAGGAAGAGGAAAUAUAUAUAUUAAUAUAUGUAUACAUAUUUAAACCACUUAAUUGAGGUAUAACUGACAUACAAAAAGCUGUACAUACAUAUUUUAUGUGUACACCUUGAUGAUUUUGGGGAAAGCAUACACCCGAGAAACCAUCAAUGACAUAAACCUGUCACCUCCAAAAGUUUCCUCCCGCCUUCUCAUUUAUUAUUAAUAUUAUUUUUGUGUCUCUACCGCUCUUGUUAAUACUGCUGAAGUGAUUCUAUCUAAGACAGUACCAGAAGCAACAUGGGAUGUCUUUCAAGUUCAAAGCUCAGGUGUGAGUUUCUCAGAGAAAGAAUCCAAGGUGAGUCACUUGUCAUACCCCAGCCCCUCCCGUCUAAAUAAAAACCCAAUGAAGAGAAAUGAUCCAGGCUCCACAGCCGCCUAAUUCACUGUGUCAGCAAAGAGACCAGGAGAUAGCUUAUCUAUAGAUUCAGUCCUUGGACAAUUUUAAUAAUAAAGUUCUUCCUCAGAUAUUCCAUCUUUUAAAACUAUUUUCAUCUGAUAUUUCCAUUUGAUAUACAUUAAUAUUAGAAAUGAAAAGCAGUAGAUGAGUCUACAGCUGAAGUCAAAAGAGAAGGCUUUUUAAACCUACUCUUCCCCUAGGGAAAAUCUGCAUUUCAAUUAAGCACAGUGUAAAUGUCCUAGUCCUAGUUCUCAAGUCUUCUGGCAUUAGCAAUAUUCCCACACCCACAUCAGUAUUUGAUAAAUCACUAGAACAUAGCACAUCAUACGGGUCAAACUGCUUGUAGAGUAAGAACAGCAGCAUUUCUGAAAUUUACUUUCUCCAGUGAUUCUCCUUAGGUGAGCACAAUAUUUAAGAAUAUUCCUAAACAAUGUUCAAUAGGUUAUUGGGUAAUAGGUAAUACCUAUUGCUUCAAUAGGUAAGCAACUGUUAGACGCAUUAACUUCUGCUUCUUUUUGUUUUUAGAGUUUCUUUCUUUGUCUUUUUUUUUUUUUUUUAACUUUCAGGAUUUUACACCAAACACUACUAACUUAGACUUCGUUUAUCGACAGAAAUUACUGAUGUCAAAGAGAAACCUGUGACUCCUUCUGCUCUGUUGCCAAGAGACAGACAUCCCACUCCCAAAGGAAUCAGGGUCUGGGAAUAGGCCAUAACUGUGGAGCAGAAGCAGAUAUGGUGAAAAAUCCCCAUGCUGGUCUCCUUAGAAAUGAGUCUGAAGCAGAAGAACCAGGCAGUACUUAACCAGAGGAGCCAAUCAGUCUUUACACACAGAACAAGCACUUAUUGAGCAUCCACUACUCAAAGGCUUUGAACACUCUGCACAAUUUCCUAACCAGACGUGGCCCACAUGAAUGUUCCCUCUCCUCUGUGCUCUCAAAGCACCCUAUGCUCACGCCUCUCAAAGCACUUUUUAUUCUUUAUUGCAAAUGUUUAUUUCUUCAUCUGUCUCCUUCACUAGCCUUCAAGCUCCUUGAAGGUAAGUCCUGUCAUGUUACUGUUUUUAAUCUCUGUAUAAAAGUCAUAAAACAGCACCAAGCUUGCUGUAGGUGCUCAGUAAAUUUCUAGAGUUAAGUAAAAGAAUGAAGGGCAUAUAAUAUAUGAAGAGCUCCUACAAAUCAGUAAUGAAAAAGACCUAGAAUGCAAAAGAAAAAUGGGUAAAGCACAUGAUGACAGCACAUAGAAAAAGAAGUAUAAAUUACUGCUAUGUAAAUAGACAUUCAAACUCAAUUA